rnacentral:rRNA from 1 species
GUUUCCUGCGCUUACACGCAAGGUAAACGCGAACAAUUCAGCGGCUUUAACCGGACGCUCGACGCCAUUAAUAAUGUUUUCCGUAAAUUCAGCGCCUUCCAUGAUGAGACAGGCCGUUUGAAUGUUGACGGGAUGAACAUAAUAAGCAAUGACGGCAGCAAUAAACUCAACAGGAGCAGGAAAGCGAGGGUAUCCUACAAAGUC